GCGAAAACUUUGCACUGCGGGAAACCGUGACAAGGGAACUCUGAGUGCCCGUUAAAUCGGGCUGUCCAUCGGUUUAAAUAACCGGUGAAGAAAGGGCCGGGCAAGACCGGUGCCAGCCGCCGCGGUAAUACCGGCGGCUCGAGUGGUGGCCACUAUUACUGGGCUUAAAGCGUUCGUAGCUGGUUUGUUAAGUCUCUGGGGAAAUCUUCCGGCUUAACCGGAAGGCGUCUCAGGGAUACUGGCAGACUAGGGACCGGGAGAGGUGAGAGGUACUCCAGGGGUAGGAGUGAAAUCCUGUAAUCCUUGGGGGACCACCUGUGGCGAAGGCGUCUCACCAGAACGGCUCCGACAGUGAGGGACGAAAGCUGGGGGAGCAAACCGGAUUAGAUACCCGGGUAGUCCCAGCUGUAAACGAUGCGCGUUAGGUGUAUCGGUGACCACGAGUCACCGAGGUGCCGAAGAGAAAUCGUGAAACGUGCCGCCUGGGAAGUACGGUCGCAAGGCUGAAACUUAAAGGAAUUGGCGGGGGAGCAC
rnacentral:rRNA from 1 species